ACUCAAAUGAAUUGACGGGGACUUGCACAAGCAGUGGAUUAUGUGGUUUAAUUCGAUGGUAAACGAAGAACCUUACCAGGGUUAGAAAUCCUAGUGAAAGCCCGAGGAAACUCGGGGCCUCGCAAGACUCUAGGACAGGUGAUGCAUGGCCGUCGUCAGUUCGUGGUUUGAAUUGUACCCUUAAGUGGGCUAACGAACGCAACCCUCGUUGUGUGUUACAAGUGUCACACGAGACCGCCCCCGACAAAGUUUUUGAUUCAUCAAGUUGAUGUAUCGAAGGUUUCGUCGGGGGAGGAAGGAGAGGAUGACGCCAGGUCAGCAUGUCCCUUUGAUACCCUGGGCUACACACAUAAUACAAUGGCCAUUACAACGCGUUGCGACGAGGCGACUCUGAGCUAAUCGUUUAAAAAUGGCCUCAGUUCGGAUUGGAGGCUGCAACUCGCCUCCAUGAAGCUGGAAUUGCUAGUAAUCGCAGGUCAGCUAAACUGCGGUGAAUACGUUCUCAAGUCUUGUACACACCGCCCGU
rnacentral:rRNA from 1 species